rnacentral:tRNA from 1 species
GGGUCAGUAGCUCAAUUGGUAGAGCAAUGGUCUCCAAAACCAUAGGCUGAGGGUUCGAUUCCUUCCUGGCCCG